UUGUCUACUAAUUAUAGACCAGCAUGAAAGGCAAAAUGAGGGUCUAACUGUCUCUUAUAAUAAAUCAAUGAAACUGAUCUCCUAGUAAAAAAGCUAGAAUUACAACAUAAGACCAGAAGACCCUGUGAAGCUUAAACUAAACUAUUAAAACAAAUAAUAACUACUUUAGGUUGGGGCGACCUUGGAAAAAAAAAGAACUUCCAAACACUAUGAUCUCUACCUCAUAAACCUUAGGCCCACAAGCCAAACAACGACCCAGCAUAGCUGAAAACUGAACCAAGUUACUCCAGGGAUAACAGCGCAAUCUUCUUCAAGAGCCCAUAUCAAAAAGCAAGGUUUACGACCUCGAUGUUGGAUCAGGACAUCCUAAUGGUGCAGCCGCUAUUAAGGGUUCGUUUGUUCAACGAUU
rnacentral:rRNA from 1 species